AGACGUCUACAUUAGACUACCCCGGUAGUCCCAGCCGUAAACUAUGCGCGUUAGGUGUAUCGGUGACCACGAGUUACCGAGGUGCCGAAGGGAAACCGUGAAACGUGCCGCCUGGGAAGUACGGUCGCAAGGCUGAAACUUAAAGGAAUUGGCGGGGGAGCACCACAACAGGUGGAGCCUGCGGUUUAAUUGGACUCAACGCCGGGAAGCUCACCGGAUAGGACAGCAGAAUGAUUGCCGGGCUGAAGACCCUGCAUGACUAGCUG
rnacentral:rRNA from 1 species